GCUCCCAUAGUUCAAUGGAUAGAACGUAAGUUUUCUAAACUUACUAUCUAGGUUCGAUUCCUGGUGGGAGUA
rnacentral:tRNA from 1 species